rnacentral:rRNA from 1 species
GUGAGGAAUAUUGGUCAAUGGGCGAGAGCCUGAACCAGCCAAGUAGCGUGCAGGAUGACGGCCCUAUGGGUUGUAAACUGCUUUUGUAUGGGGAUAAAGUCAAUCACGUGUGAUUGUUUGCAGGUACCAUACGAAUAAGGACCGGCUAAUUCCGUGCCAGCAGCCGCGGUAAUACGGAAGGUCCGGGCGUUAUCCGGAUUUAUUGGGUUUAAAGGGAGCGUAGGCUGGAGAUUAAGUGUGUUGUGAAAUGUAGACGCUCAACGUCUGACUUGCAGCGCAUACUGGUUUCCUUGAGUACGCACAACGUUGGCGGAAUUCGUCGUGUAGCGGUGAAAUGCUUAGAUAUGACGAAGAACUCCGAUUGCGAAGGCAGCUGACGGGAGCGCAACUGACGCUGAAGCUCGAAGGUGCGGGUAUCGAACAGGAUUAGAAACCCUAGUAGUCC